rnacentral:rRNA from 1 species
CAGUAGCCGCGGUAAUACGAAGGGGGCUAGCGUUGUUCGGAUUAACUGGGCGUAAAGGGCGCGUAGGCGGGUUUUUAAGUCAGAGGUGAAAUCCCAAGGCUCAACCUUGGAACUGCCUUUGAUACUGGAAGUCUUGAGUCCGGGAGAGGUGAGUGGAAUUCCGAGUGUAGAGGUGAAAUUCGUAGAUAUUCGGAAGAACACCAGUGGCGAAGGCGGCUCACUGGACGACUGUUGACGCUGAGGUGCGAAAGCGUGGGGAGCAAACAGGAUUAGAUACCCCUGUAGUCCCUGUCUCUUAUAC